GAUGAACGCUGGCGGCGUGCCUAAUACAUGCAAGUCGAGCGAACAGACGAGGAGCUUGCUCCUCUGACGUUAGCGGCGGACGGGUGAGUAACACGUGGAUAACCUACCUAUAAGACUGGGAUAACUUCGGGAAACCGGAGCUAAUACCGGAUAAUAUAUUGAACCGCAUGGUUCAUUAGUGAAAGACGGUUUUGCUGUCACUUAUAGAUGGAUCCGCGCCGCAUUAGCUAGUUGGUAAGGUAACGGCUUACCAAGGCGACGAUGCGUAGCCGACCUGAGAGGGUGAUCGGCCAAACUGGAACUGAGACUCGGUCCAGACUCCUACGGGAGGCAGCAGUAGGGAAGCUUCCGCAAUGGGCGAAAGCCUGACGGAGCAACGCCGCGUGAGUGAUGAAGGUCUUCGGAUCGUAAAACUCUGUUAUUAGGGAAGAACAAAUGUGUAAGUAACUAUGCACGUCUUGACGGUACCUAAUCAGAAAGCCACGGCUAACUACGUG
rnacentral:rRNA from 1 species